UUACCAACCGACCCACCAGAGACCUUUCCACUCCCCUCCCACACCAGGGAAAAUGCCUCUUUGGCUCCAUUUCGUGGUCGUUGCAGCAGCUUUGGGAGGUGUCCGGUCACAAGUCCAGCUGCUGGAGUCCGGCGGGGAUGUGAAAAAGCCCGGAGACUCCCUCAGACUGACCUGUACCACCUCGGGGUUCAGCAUAGACAGCUACUGGAUGAGCUGGGUCCGCCAGGCUCCCGGGCAGGGGCUGCAGUGGGUAUCAGCAAUUAGUGGAGCAACAACCCAUUACGGAGAUUCCGUGAAAGGGCGAUUCACCACCUCUACAGACAGCUCCAAGAAGCUGAUCUACCUGCAACUGACCGGCCUGAAGCCCGAGGACACCGCCCGCUAUUACUGUGCGAGACACACAGUGAGGCGAAGCCGGGCUGAGCUCAGACACAAACCUCCCGUUGCGGUCAGCAGGGGAAGUCCCAGCUGGUUUGUGACACUGACAGUCCGGGCGCUGGGCUCUCGCGGUUCCCUUCCUUGAAAUGAUUAAAAUGUUCUCGGCUCUGCAGCCACGUCCAGUGCCACAGAGAGCAGAGAUCCCGAGGCCGGCACCUCGGGACUGGGAUGGGGGGACUGACACGCUGGGUCCCAUAAACUGUUCUACGCCUCACAAUACAUUCCAUAGAGCCCAGAAAAUGCCAAACACUCCCCAUGUGACCCCCAUGUUCUGUGUGCUGGGAAAAACCGGGACAAGGAAAAACACGGACCAGGACAACUAUCAACGAGCAGAGGCUACU